GUCAGGUCUGUGGUUGAAAAUCGAGGCCAGUCGCAGGCGAAACGAUCCACGUAACCCGGCAAAAUGUCGGUGAGCAUGGUGCGGUUUAGAGGUAAGCCCGCCCGGGAAACCGAGAGGAGCAGUAGUGGGGAGGCAGGAUGCCUUAUGAGCGAACCUUCCAGGCGGCGAGUGUGGGGGCAAAAACCAGGUCAGCUGGC
rnacentral:ncRNA from 1 species